rnacentral:rRNA from 1 species
GGCCAGCUUGCUGGUCUGAUCAGUGGCGAACGGGUGAGUAACACGUGAGCAACCUGCCCUUCACUCUGGGAUAACCACCGGAAACGGUGGCUAAUACCGGAUAUGAGACGUACACGCAUGUGUCGCGUCUGGAAAGAUUUAUCGGUGAAGGAUGGGCUCGCGGCCUAUCAGCUUGUUGGUGGGGUAGUGGCCCACCAAGGCGACGACGGGUAGCCGGCCUGAGAGGGCGACCGGCCACACUGGGACUGAGAUACGGCCCAGACUCCUACGGGAGGCAGCAGUGGGGAAUAUUGCACAAUGGGCGCAAGCCUGAUGCAGCGACGCCGCGUGAGGGAUGACGGCCUUCGGGUUGUAAACCUCUUUCAGCAGGGAAGAAGCGAAAGUGACGGUACCUGCAGAAGAAGCGCCGGCUAACUACGUGCCAGCAGCCCGCGGUAAUACGUAGGGCGCAAGCGUUGUCCGGAAUUAUUGGGCGUAAAGAGCUCGUAGGCGGUUUGUCGCGUCUGCUGUGAAAACCUAAGGCUCAACCUUGGGCUUGCAGUGGGUACGGGCAGACUAGAGUGCGGUAGGGGUGACUGGAAUUCCUGGUGUAGCGGUGGAAUGCGCAGAUAUCAGGAGGAACACCGAUGGCGAAGGCAGGUCACUGGGCCGCAACUGACGCUGAGGAGCGAAAGCAUGGGGAGCGAACAGGAUUAGAUACCCUGGUAGUCCAUGCCGUAAACGUUGGGCACUAGGUGUGGGGCUCAUUCCACGAGUUCCGUGCCGCAGCAAACGCAUUAAGUGCCCCGCCUGGGGAGUACGGCCGCAAGGCUAAAACUCAAAGAAAUUGACGGGGGCCCGCACAAGCGGCGGAGCAUGCGGAUUAAUUCGAUGCAACGCGAAGAACCUUACCAAGGCUUGACAUACACCGGAAACUUCCAGAGAUGGUUGCCCCGCAAGGUCGGUGUACAGGUGGUGCAUGGUUGUCGUCAGCUCGUGUCGUGAGAUGUUGGGUUAAGUCCCGCAACGAGCGCAACCCUCGUCCCAUGUUGCCAGCGGGUUAUGCCGGGGACUCAUGGGAGACUGCCGGGGUCAACUCGGAGGAAGGUGGGGAUGACGUCAAAUCAUCAUGCCCCUUAUGUCUUGGGCUUCACGCAUGCUACAAUGGCCGGUACAAAGGGCUGCGAUACCGCGAGGUGGAGCGAAUCCCAAAAAGCCGGUCUCAGUUCGGAUUGGGGUCUGCAACUCGACCCCAUGAAGUCGGAGUCGCUAGUAAUCGCAGAUCAGCAACGCUGCGGUGAAUACGUUCCCGGGCCUUGUACACACCGCCCGUCAAGUCACGAAAGUCGGUAACACCCGAAGCCA